ensembl:lncRNA novel transcript, overlapping to ZNF435
AGAGGUCGCGAGAGAACUGAAAAAGGGGACCGGCCUUUCCCGGCUGCCUAAGCACUUGGGUUCCGGCCUGGAAGGAGGCCCAGGGCUCCCACAAAGAGAAAUAAGGGACCUAUUUGGAUGGAUCCCAAGAAACACUGUCUGGCAUCUGAUUUGAACGAGGCUCGGCGCAGCCGGGCCCUUUUCGCAAAGUAGGCCCACUGCAGACCUGUGGGAACCUCCGGGAUGCCUGGGGACCCGCAUCUGCCGCUACCCGCAAUUUCCUAUCCCGACCCUCUCUGCAGUUGUCGACCCCGGCCGGCGGCUUUGAGCGUGGGGUCCCGCAGACCCUGGCACCUAGGGGGCCGAAGCCGAGGGAUCUUGGGGUAGAAGAGCGGUCCUACAGAGCUGCCGCUUCGAAAGAGCCCCCAAUCGACCGCUGAUGGGGAAUGGAGGAUUUUGCUGUUUUAUUGCAGCCCGCCCCCGGAGAAAGGCGGGCUCGGACGUUCUUGACUUUAGGAUAGACUGGGGAGGGGUGCCGAGGAGCGUUCUUCCCUUUACGUCUCGCGGUCGCAGACUGUAUUUGCUGGUGCCCUGCUCACUGUGAUCUCGCAGGACCUUGCGGACUUACGGAGACGAAAAGUGGCCUACUUUGAGCUUCUCUGAUCCUUAGGGGAAAUGAGUGUCCAAAGAGAAAUAGGUGCAGAGUGCCGGCACUAGAAUUCUUUAAACCUGGAUUCAAAUUCUGACUCCACCACUCUCCAGUUAGGACUGAGGGCAAUUUAUUUUUAACUUCUCCAAGCCUCUGUUUACUCGUUUAUGUAACUCAGGCUAAUAACGUAGUGUCUAUUUCAUAGGGUGGCUUUGACUAUUAAGUGUGAGAGUGCAUGUAAGAACAGUCUAAGGGAAUUUCCCUGCCUUUCCCCUUGUCUGCUGUCACUCUCAUCCGUGUUAGACAAAUGGAAUUAAUUAACCAACUUCCGCUUUUCUGAAGCACGGGUAAAGAGUGAAGUGCAGGACUUGGGUAAAGGAAAAACCAAGAAGGAUGCAAAAGAUGGAUGGUCAUUGUGAGAUCCACAGAGGUGCUCAUCCCAGCACUUUCACCUCACUUGGCAUCUGUCACAUGGUGGGUGCUUGAUAAGUACAUGGGUGAAUGAGGACCUACCUAAGCAGAAGGAAUUAUUGAAUAAGACUAGAAUUGCAGGGAGAGGAUGAAUCAGAUUGAUUAGCUACUUGACAAAAAAAGGCAAACCACUCUUCCUGUCAGAAAUGUAUGGCACAUCUGCAUAUUUCAAGGGCUGCCACUUACUGCAACUGGGAAGGAGAUCUCAGAACCGACACCUCAACUAUGGAAGCUUUAAUCUAUUGACAGCAAAUGCAACAUAGCAAGUAAUAUAAGACAGAAUGUGAUCAGUGCAAAAUCGAAUAAUAAAGUCUUGAGAGGGGGUUAUUAGAAUAAUAGACGAGUGUUUAGAUUGAGUAGUGAGCAAUGAGAUAAGUCCUUUGACUUGGGGGUACAGGGGAAUUAUGACCAGGGGUAUGGGAUAGGGAGAAGGUCAUUCUGGAAGGCAAUAAAAGGCAGACAGGACGCUAGUGGUAGAAAAAAAGGAAAACACUUGUUUAUCAAUGUAAAUCAAUGGCGGAAGAAUUACAUAUGACAUAUGCUAUUGAGGAAUACCUUUCAACCGUUCAAAUGACAAAAGGAGUGUCAGAACAAUAUAUAUUCCAUUUUUGUUGAAAAAAUUUGUUUAUAUAGAUAUAAUUUGUGGGGUAUUUGUACAAGAAAAGGAUGCACUCCAAACUUAACAGUGAUUACCCCAUAUUGAAAAUUGUGAAACUUUUACCCUACUUGCAAGCUAACAAUUUAACUUGCCACAGUUUUAUGGAUACUAACAGAAGACACUGGACUCCUGCGUCAGAGACAGAAGACUUUAUUACUUAAUAACACAGGCAUCAUAAGCUUUAUAUUCCCUUGUUCCCAAAGCUUAUGUUCCCAAAGCCCACAGAGGGGCCUAAGCUUGGCAUUCCCCUGCUAGGAUGGAACAGUGGGUUUGCAACCUAGCAGAGGAAUGCCAAGCUUAGGAAGCCCAACCUUUGCUCAGCCUUGCCCCAGAAUGAGCCAUUAUCUUUAUUAUCCUGGUCAGGAAACAACUGUGAUCUAGAAGGAGAUACAAACAUCCUUGAAAACCUAACCUCAAAGAAAAAUCUACCAUAAGACUAGGAGUAAUUUGAGAAGCCAUUAAAGAAUUAUCUCCCAACAUUCUAGGUAAAUACUAUUUGAGGGUGGAGAUGUCAGCUUUUAAGAAUUUUAUAUAAUAUUAAUCUUUAUCAUGUUUCAUUUAUUUUUAAAAAUACAAAAAAUAAAAGGCAAGCAUAGAAGUUUAAAUUUUACUUAGAGAUAAGGAACCACUCAGGGUCAGUGAUUGGAAGAAUGAUAAUGAUAUUUAAGGACCACGUCUUGUAUAGUUAGGAAGGCUAUCUCAAGGCUGUUGCAGUCACAUAGGUGUGAAGUAAUUAGAACUGAGGAUGGUGGUUAUAUUAAUGGAGAAAAGUAACACUUCAAAGGAGAAAUCUGGCUCUGAUAAUUUCUCCUUUAUCUCCAUGUUUCAUUGAGUAAACUAAGGAAGCCUCUCAAGCCUGAAUAACUUAGAAAUUGGCGAUAUUAUCAACCAUUCUAACGGAUAUGUGGUGGUAACUCAUUGAGGUUUUAACUUUGCAUUUCCCUGAUGAAUAAUGGUUACUUUUUAGUGUGCAUACUGGCCAUUCUUUUAUCUUUUGUAAAGAAAGUGUUUAAAUCUUUUGCCUAUUGGUGUUGAAUUAUCUUAUUCAUUAAAUUGUGAGAGUUCUUUAUAUA